GACAGAGGGUGCAAACGUUGCUCGGAAUCACGUGGGCGUAAAGGGCGUGUAGGCGGGAAGGAAAGUCAGAUGUGAAUCCCCAAGGCUCAACCUGGGAACUGCAUUUGAAACUCCCUUUCUUGAGUACCGGAGAGGAAAGUGGAAUUCCUGGUGUAGAGGUGAAAUUCGUAGAUAUCAAGGAGGAACACCAGUGGCGAAGGCGGCUUCUGGACGGUAACUGACGCUGAGAACGCGAAAGCGUGGGGAGCAAACAGG
rnacentral:rRNA from 1 species